UACGAAGGGGGCUAGCGUUGUUCGGAAUUACUGGGCGUAAAGCGUAUGUAGGCGGACUGAUCAGUCAGGGGUGAAAUCCCGAGGCUUAACCUCGGAACUGCCUUUGAUACUGUCAGUCUUGAGUUCGAGAGAGGUGAGUGGAAUUCCGAGUGUAGAGGUGAAAUUCGUAGAUAUUUGGAGGAACACCAGUGGCGAAGGCGGCUCACUGGCUCGAUACUGACGCUGAGGUGCGAAAGUGUGGGGAGCAAACAGG
rnacentral:rRNA from 1 species